rnacentral:rRNA from 1 species
AUGACUGAGUGGCGAACGGGUGAGUAAUGCGUGAGCAACCUGCCUUUCAGAGGGGGACAACAGUUGGAAACGACUGCUAAUACCGCAUAACACAUAGGUGUCGCAUGGCACUUAUGUCAAAGAUUUAUCGCUGAAAGAUGGCCUCGCGUCUGAUUAGCUGGUUGGUGAGGUAACGGCUCACCAAGGCGACGAUCAGUAGCCGGACUGAGAGGUUGAACGGCCACAUUGGGACUGAGAUACGGCCCAGACUCC